rnacentral:rRNA from 1 species
GAUGAACGCUGGCGGUAUGCUUAACACAUGCAAGUCGAACGGACUCUUCGGAGUUAGUGGCGGACGGGUGAGUAACGCGUGAGAAUCUGGCUUUGGGUUCGGGACAACCACUGGAAACGGUGGCUAAUACCGGAUGUGCCGAGAGGUAAAAGAGAAAUUGCCUGAAGAUGAGCUCGCGUCUGAUUAGCUAGUUGGUGAGGUAAAGGCUCACCAAGGCAGCGAUCAGUAGCUGAUCUGAGAGGAUGACCAGCCACACUGGGACUGAGACACGGCCCAGACGCCUACGGGAGGCAGCAGUGGGGAAUUGUCCGAAAUGGGCGAAAGCCUGACGGAGCAAUACCGCGUGAGGGAAGAAGGCUCUUGGGUUGAAAACCUCUUUUCUUAGGGAAGAACAAAAUGACGGUACCGAAGGAAUCAGCAUCGGCUAACUCCGUG